rnacentral:rRNA from 1 species
GUGAGGAAUUUUCCGCAAUGGGCGAAAGCCUGACGGAGCAAUGCCGCGUGAAGGAUGAAGGCCUAUGGGUUGUAAACUUCUUUUCUCAGAAAAGAAUUAUGACGGUAUCUGAGGAAUAAGCAUCGGCUAACUCUGUGCCAGCAGCCGCGGUAAGACAGAGGAUGCAAGCGUUAUCCUGAAUGAUUGGGCGUAAAGCGUCUGUAGGUUGUUUAAAAAGUAUUCUGUCAAAGAUUAGGGCUUAACCCUAGAUAGGCAGAAUAAACUUUUAAGCUAGAGUUUGGUAGAGGCAGAGGGAAUUCCCGGUGGAGCGGUGAAAUGCGUAGAUAUCGGGAGGAACACCAAAGGCGAAGGCACUCUGCUGGGCCAAUACUAACACUGAGAGACGAAAGCGAGGGGAGCAAACAGGAUUAGAAACCCCUGUAGUCC